GUCUAUGGCCAUGUCACUCUGAACAAGCCCGAUCCCAUCUGAUCUCGGAAGCUAAGCAGGGUCGGGCCUGGUUAGUACUUGAAUGGGAGACCACCUAGGAAGACCGGGUGCUGUAGGCA
rnacentral:rRNA from 1 species